rnacentral:rRNA from 1 species
UACGGGGGGGGCAAGCGUUGUUCGGAAUUACUGGGCGUAAAGGGUGCGUAGGUGGCCUGCUAAGUCGGAUGUGAAAACUCUGGGCUCAACCCAGAGCCUGCAUUCGAAACUGACGGGCUUGAGUUCUGGAGGGGAAAGCGGAAUUCCUGGUGUAGCGGUGAAAUGCGUAGAUAUCAGGAGGAACACCGGUGGCGAAGGCGGCUUUCUGGACAGAUACUGACACUGAGGCACGAAAGCUAGGGGAGCAAACAGG